rnacentral:rRNA from 1 species
CCUACGGGAGGCAGCAGUGAGGAAUAUUGGUCAAUGGGCAUAAGCCUGAACCAGCCAAGUCGCGUGAGUGAUGAAGGUUCUAUGGAUCGUAAACCUCUUUUAUAAGGGAGUAAAUUGCGGUACGUGUCCCGGUUUGUAUGUACCUUAUGAAUAAGGAUCGGCGAACUCCGUGCCAGCAGCCGCGGUAAUACGGAGGAGCCGAGCGUUAUCCGGAUUUAAUGGGUUUAAAGGGUGCGUAGGCGGCAUUUUAAGUCAGCCGUGAAAUUCUGUGGCUCAACCAUAGAAUUGCCGUUGAAACUGGGAGGCUUGAGUAUGUUUGAGGUAGGCGGAAUGCGUGGUGUAGCGGUGAAAUGCUUAGAUAUCACGCAGAACACC